CCGCCGGCCGGAACCACAAGCGAUAUCCGCAGAGCUGUGCUCCAUAUCCGGUAGGACGGGCCAUGCUACAGCGCGUGCUACGGUUGAUUGCCGCCUGUGCCUUCAGCCUGAGGGAGGGUUGCGCGCCGUGGUCGUGCUCCGCCUGAGGGAGGGCUGCGCACCGUGGUCGCGCUCCGCCUGAGGGAGGGUUGCGCGUCGUGGUCGUGCUCCGCCUGAGGGAGGGUUGCGCGCCGUGGUCGUGCUCCGCCCGAGGGAGGGCUACGCGCCGCGCCGCGCCAUGGGAUGCUGCUUCCGAGAGGUGGAAGACGUCGUCGUCGCCAAACGCGGAUAUCGUACAUAUAUGUUUUUCUUUUGCUCCUGGUAAGGUCGCUUGUACUUGAUUGCCUCACAGAAGUAGUACAGGUCGUGGAUUUGAUGUCAUCGUGUGGUUGAUCUCUUUUCUUCUCGGUUCUUGGAGUUCCUGGUACAGCAAUUGAUUUUUACAGGAAUAAAAUCAAACUGAAUCACCUGUUUGACACCGAUUUCUCUAUUUCUCGUGGCCACCGGAGUUGCUUGGUGCCGUUCGUCGCGUGACGCCGACGGGUAGCGCGGGAGGGUGGCCUCACCAGGCGCAACAAUGGCGCCGUGGGUUGUCGGGCACUCCGUGAUGUGCCACGGGUAUGCAUCUCACGACUUCGUCGUCGGGCGAGCGUCGCUGCUUCGCCUCCAGAUGCGGGAAAAAAGCCUUCGGCCCUCGCCCCUAUUUUGUCUCUUCCCCGUCAUUUUCUUCUUGUUCCAGUGGCCAAAUCGCUCUCGACAGAGCAAGUGCAUGAUAACGUGUGAAAGAAUAAAAGCAAAUGAUCGAAUAGUCUUUCUUAUUGAAUGAAAACUAGGUAUUUAUAUCCUUCUUACAAGGUAGUUAGAGUUACAAUGUCGGUAACCACAACCGACGUAAACAACCGACUUAAGCAUUGAUUACUAGGAUUAAAUUAAUCAUUAAUAAUUAUUAGCCGGGUCAUGUCGUGCCGGCCCACGUGCGCAGCCUUCCGACCCAGGCAUAACACGGAAGCUAAAUGGGCCAGCUCGUCGACACGGCCGACCUAUAGGCCGGGCAAACGGGGCGCCCACCCUGGGCUGCCGUAAGGCAGGGGCCUCAGCCGAGGUAAUACUUCCCCAUAUCCAGCCCAAGUAAUACUUCCCCAUAUCCCAGCUCAAGUAAAACUAGCGAACGCAGACGCUCCCGUGCCGUCUCCUGCACGAGACCGACUUUCCUCCCAAAUCCCAGAGACCCAGACUCCCAGAACAGCACCGCCGCUCCCGUGCCGUCUCCGAUUCCAAGAACGCCACCGGCCAUUAAUGGGGACUAAUGGCGCAAAUCAGAUCCCUGAUCUGCUCGCCUCCCUUCUUCAAAGAUCUUCCCUUUCCUCACUUCCCCGUCAGCUAGAAGUUGGUGUCUUCGAGACAAGGAGAUAUGCCCGUUCCUCACUUCCCGGUGAUCCCGUUCAUCCUUUCAGUUAAAUAGAUGACCCUGACCCUGCAUCUCUAACAUCUCUUCUCUUUCUCUGUUUCAGUGGACGCAACCCUUCUCUUUCUCUCUCUCUCUGAUGAACCGGGCCGAAUAGGAGGUGAGGUUCGCUGGAAUCAUUGUUGAUCUGCUGCAGCGAAAGGUGAAGCCAGGGGGAGGGGCCGAAGGCAGGGGGAGGGGCAGAAGCUGAUUUGUUUCAGUGGAUCUGCUGAUUUGGCCGCCUACAUCAACAUUCAGGUGCCUUUGUUCCCUGUUUUAAUCAUUUUAUGCUGCUUGUUCUUGAUAAGUAACAUGUCCUUUAGCAAGCAUUUAUCUGGUAGUAACAAAGGGAAGAUAAAAAAGAAAAAAGAUGAAGAGGUAAAAUCUCUAAAAGGAUCACUUAACAGAUAUUUCAAACCUGGUAGUUUUUCUAGAGAUCCCCUGGAACUGGCCAUAGUAUGUGUUGAAGAACAACCAACUGAGAAUACAAAUGCUACCGAUGAUGAUAUGGAUAUGGGUAAUGGUAAUUCCAGCGAGCAUGAAAAUGUAGCUCGUUCAUCAAAUUAUGAAUCACCGAGUGUCGAUAAACAACAACCAUUCAGUGUUGAUAUUUUUGACCCACGAAACUGGGAUAAUCUGGAUGAUAAGGCAAGAGAUAUUUUAGUUGAGAAGGGCCCUGUAAGGAAUGAUGAUAUUGUGUUCCCUCCAGAUAGUAAUUCUAUACAUUUUUCACUAUCUUAUUAUUCCACAAAGUUGAGGAAUGGAGAGGUACAUGCCAGGAAAUGGUUGGUUUACUCUGAACAUGCUAACAAAGUGUAUUGUUUUUGUUGCAAGCUUUUCAAAUCCCAUAUCAACAAGAGUGCGUUAGCUGGUAAUGGGUUGAGUGACUGGAAGCAUCUUAGUGAGAGGCUUAAAGAACACGAAAAUGGUGUAGAACACAUUAAAACCAUGAACACUUGAAAUGAGUUAAAAGUUAGACUGGCCAAAAAUAAAACCAUUGAUAAGGAUUUGCAGCAGAAGAUUAAUAAGGAGAAAGAACGUUUGAGACAAGUGUUAAUGAGAUUAGUAGCAAUUGUUAAAUAUCUUGGUAAACGUAACUUGGCUUUCCGUGGAUCUAAUGAGAAACUUUAUCAACACAGCAAUGGUAAUUUUUUGGCAUGUGUAGAGAUGAUUGCUGAAUUUGAUCCAAUAAUGCAAGAACAUCUUAGAAGAAUUCAGAAUGAUGAAAUUUAUCAUCACUAUCUCAGCCACAAAAUUCAGAAUGAGUUGAUUUCUCUAUUGGCCUCUAGUGUUACUGGUUCUAUCUUACAAAUUAUUAAAGAAGCUAAAUAUUUCUCCAUAAUUCUUGAUUGUACUCCAAAUGUUAGCCAUCAAGAACAAAUGACCCUAAUUAUUCGAUGUGUUAACAUGUCAAAUAGAAAAAUAAAAAUAGAAGAAUUUUUAUGGAAUUUUUGAGAGUGGAUGACACUUCUGGUUUGGGUUUUUUAAUGCACUUCUUGAUGCAAUUGAGUCUUAUGGCUUAAAUAUUGAUAAUGUAAGGGGCCAAGGGUACAAUAAUGGUUCCAACAUGAAAGGAAACAAACAAGGGGUACAAAGUCGUUUACUUGAAAAAAUCCAAGAGCUUUAUAUAUGCCAUGUGUGUGUCAUCGCCUCAAUCUUACUUUGUGUGAUAUAGCAAGUUCUUGUAGUAAAGUUAUAUCCUUCUUUGGAAUUGCGCAAUGGAUUUAUGUUUUAUUUUCAAGUUCCACUAAAAUAUGGAAAGUUUUACUUGAUCAUAUUCCUAGUUUAACCGUAAAAGGUUUGUCUAAUACUCGGUGGGAGAGUCGAAUCAAAAGUGUAAAGGCUAUUAGAUAUCAAGCUCCACAAUUAAGGAUCACUUUGUCCGAGUUAUGUAAAAUUUGUGAUGAUGCCAAGUCAAAGAGCGAUGCAAAAAAAUUAUUUGACGCGCUUGGUAGUUUUGAGUUUUUACUUGGCAUGGUUAUUUGGCAUGAUAUAUUAUUUGCUGUAAACAUGGUGAGCAAGAAGUUGCAGUCUGCAUCUAUGUGUGUUGACUCUACCUUGCAGCAAAUUGAAGGCGUAAUGUAGUUUUUUGAUAAGUAUAGAGAGGAAGGAUUUGCAUCUUGUUUAACUAUCACCAAAGGUCUUGCAAUUGAUAUGGGCAUAGAACCAUCAUUUCCAAUAAAACCUAAUGUUACUAGGAAGAAACAAUUUGUUGAACCUGAUAACGAUGAAGAAGUUCUAAAAGCUGAGAAGGCGUUCGAAGUUAAUUACUUUUUAGUUAUGGUUGAUAUUGCAAAGGUCUCUAAGAACUAGAUUCAAAGAACUCCAAGUUUUCAAAAGUAUAUUUGGCUUCUUACUUAGCUCAAAAGACAUGAAGUUAUUGGAUGAUGUCGAACUACACAAAUAUUGUGCUAAGUUUGUAGAAACAUUUUCACGAAAUGGUUCAUGCGAUGUUGAGUUAGAUGAUCUUUUUUCUGAAAUUAGACUGCUGCAAAUGACUUUACCAUAAUCAGAUUUGCCAUUGCAUGCUAUGGAGAUUUUUUGAGUUUGUUAGAGAUACUGACUGUUUUCCAAAUGUUUUAAUUGCUUAUCGAAUUUUGUUCACUGUACCAAUGACCGUAGCAUCAGCGGAGCGUAGUUUUUGCAAGUUGAAAUUGUUAAAUAACUACUUGAGGUCAACAAUGUCACAAGAAAUAUUAAAUGUUCUUGCUACUUUAUGUAUUGAGAAAGAUAAGUUGGAUGAAAUAAAUUUUGAUGCAAUAAUUGAUGACUUUGUUUCAAGAAGUGUUAGAAGAAUUUCCAAGUUCUAGUAUAGACAUGAAAUUCUCAGUUAGCUUUACUAUGCCUUGAGAAGGAAUGUUUGGAAGAAUUGAGGUACUAUGCUGUGAAGAAUUUUGGAGUGAAGAACAUGGCCGAUUGGCGAGGAUCGAGAAACAAAUAACAAAAUGACAGUCUCCAUUCAAAUUUAGGAAUGCAAGAUUUUGUGAAAAGAGAGCUUUUGUCAAACUUCAUCUCCUUACUAUCAUGAUGUAGUUCACUUGAUCGACAAAUAAAUUGUACUGUCAAUUUUAGAGUCCAAAUUACGAUCAUCAGACUACGCUAUGUAUUGGAUAUUACUUUGUUUUUUAAAUAUACAAUAUUUUGAACUUC